rnacentral:rRNA from 1 species
UGGGGAAUAUUGGACAAUGGGCGAAAGCCUGAUCCAGCCAUGCCGCGUGUGUGAAGAAGGUCUUCGGAUUGUAAAGCACUUUAAGUUGGGAGGAAGGGCAUUAACCUAAUACGUUAGUGUUUUGACGUUACCGACAGAAUAAGCACCGGCUAACUCUGUGCCAGCAGCCGCGGUAAUACAGAGGGUGCAAGCGUUAAUCGGAAUUACUGGGCGUAAAGCGCGCGUAGGUGGUUUGUUAAUUUUGAUGUGAAAUCCCCGGGCUCAACCUGGGAACUGCAUUCAAAACUGACUGACUAGAGUAUGGUAGAGGGUGGUGGAAUUUCCUGUGUAGCGGUGAAAUGCGUAGAUAUAGGAAGGAACACCAGUGGCGAAGGCGACCACCUGGACUAAUACUGACACUGAGGUGCGAAAGCGUGGGGAGCAAACA